CCGCGGGGAUGCGCGCAGGAUUCGCGCAGGAUGCGCGGGGGAUGCGCGGCCCCGGGGGUCCCGGGGGUCCCGGGUUUCGGGGUCACGGCGCAGGGAAAGGGGGCGGCUGCGGUCACUGUCCCAUGGUGGUGCGGUGUUUCCGUCUUUCCCCGCGCAGGCAGCUGCAAGAGGAGCCUGCUUUGAAGGUUUCUCCUUUUCUUCGAUCUAGACGAGGUUAUCGGCAGGAAAUGGUGACAGAAUUUACUUGAACUUUAAAUCACCCAGAAACCACAAGAAACCACCAGCAAAACAAAUUUACAUCAUCGAGAGGCUGCUGCAAAGAAGUGAAUUUUUUUUUCACCUCACGUGCACAGCAGGAUUUUUCAGUACAUUAUUAUUUACAAGGUGAACAUCAAUAUUGUUUAUAUGCAAAGGUUUCUGUUGUUUGUUGGUUUAGGGUGAUGAUAAAUUGGAAUUAUUUUAAGUUCAGCAUCACCAUGGAGAUCUGGGGGCUAACACAGCACUGAGGUUGUAGUAAAAUAUCAUCAGAAAAAAAAGCCAAAAUUUCUUCUUUAAGU